GGGGGUGGCGAGCGUUACUCGGAUUUAUUGGGUGUAAAGGGCAGGUAGGCGGCUAUGUAAGUCGAUGGUGAAAUCCUUAGGCUCAACCUAAGAACUGCCUUCGAAACUGCAUGGCUUGAGACCAGAAGAGGAGAGCGGAAUUCCCGGUGUAAGGGUGAAAUCUGUAGAUAUCGGGAGGAACACCAGUUGCGAAAGCGGCUCUCUAGUCUGGUUCUGACGCUAAGCUGCGAAAGCUAGGGGAGCAAACAGGAUUAGAUACCCUGGUAGUCCUAGCCGUAAACGAUGAGUACUACGUGUUGGGUCGUAUGAUUCAGCGCCGCAAGAUAACUCGUUAAGUACUCCACCUGGGGACUACGACCGCAAGGUUA
rnacentral:rRNA from 1 species